UGGGGGAUAUUGCACAAUGGGCGAAAGCCUGAUGCAGCGACGCCGCGUGGGGGAUGAAGGCUUUCGGGUUGUAAACCUCUUUCGCUAUCGAACAAGGCCCGCUUAGGGUGGGUUGAGGGUAGGUGGAGAAGAAGCGCCGGCUAACUACGUGCCAGCAGCCGCGGUAAUACGUAGGGCGCGAGCGUUGUCCGGAAUUAUUGGGCGUAAAGGGCUUGUAGGCGGCUUGUUGCGCCUGCUGUGAAAACGCGGGGCUUAACUUCGCGCGUGCAGUGGGUACGGGCAGGCUUGAGUGUGGUAGGGGUGACUGGAAUUCCAGGUGUAGCGGUGGAAUGCGCAGAUAUCUGGAGGAACACCGAUGGCGAAGGGAGGUCACUGGGCCAUUACUGACGAUGAGGAGCGAAAGCAUGGGUAGCGAAGAGG
rnacentral:rRNA from 1 species